CCGCGCCGGCCAAUCGGUGCCCGCGCCACGCCCUCGCCGCCACGCCCCUCCGCCGUGCCCCGCCCUCGUCCUGCCCCACGCGUCCACACGCGUUUCGCUGCGCCCCAGGCACUCGGCUUGAGCGGCCUGCCCUUGGCUGAGAUCGCUGGGGUCUCGAGGGUCGGGGCCUGGAGAAAAACUGCCUGAGUCCGGAAUCCGAGGCGACUGAGCAGGUACCUGUGAUGAGAGACCUCUGACCCUAGGCUAAGUGACAGGAGCCACAAGCAGUUUCCACAAGAAAAAGGGAACCUAAGCCCAUCACCAACUGUGUCAACAUCAGUCCCUAACCCAUUGUCUUUAAGAAUACUGGGAACUAGAUGGCCUCUUGAUCUGCUGGUCAUAAAUCCCCCAGACCACAGGAUGUGUUAAUCAGCCCCCACCCCCUACCUGAACAAACGACAGUUACAGCCUCUUUGCUCAAUACCCUUUGUCUUGUGAUAACCUUGCACGGAAACUUUGUAACCAUGGAAAUCUUGUGACAUGAGAUCAGGGGUCUCAUGACCCCCUUCCCUUCUUGUUCUUUUUAAAAACACCUUGCAUCCGUAGUUGGGGCUUCCACUCUCCCAAUGAGAGUGAGGCCCCAGCUAAUUGGUUUUCGAAAUAAAACCUUUUAUGUGCUUGCA